UACGGAGGAUCCAAGCGUUAUCCGGAAUCAUUGGGUUUAAAGGGUCCGUAGGCGGUUUAAUAAGUCAGUGGUGAAAGCCCAUCGCUCAACGGUGGAACGGCCAUUGAUACUGUUAAACUUGAAUUAUUAGGAAGUAACUAGAAUAUGUAGUGUAGCGGUGAAAUGCUUAGAGAUUACAUGGAAUACCAAUUGCGAAGGCAGGUUACUACUAAUGGAUUGACGCUGAUGGACGAAAGCCAGGGGAGCAAACGGG
rnacentral:rRNA from 1 species